CAUAGGUUAAUGAGGCGAACCGGGGGAACUGAAACAUCUAAGUACCCCGAGGAAAAGAAAUCAACCGAGAUUCCCCCAGUAGCGGCGAGCGAACGGGGAGGAGCCCAGAGCCUGAAUCAGUGUGUGUGUUAGUGGAAGCGUCUGGAAAGGCGCGCGAUACAGGGUGACAGCCCCGUACACAAAAAUGCACAUAUUGUGAGCUCGAUGAGUAGGGCGGGACACGUGGUAUCCUGUCUGAAUAUGGGGGGACCAUCCUCCAAGGCUAAAUACUCCUGACUGACCGAUAGUGAACCAGUACCGUGAGGGAAAGGCGAAAAGAACCCCGGCGAGGGGAGUGAAAAAGAACCUGAAACCGUGUACGUACAAGCAGUGGGAGCCUCUUAAUGGGGUGACUGCGUACCUUUUGUAUAAUGGGUCAGCGACUUAUAUUCUGUAGCAAGGUUAACCGAAUAGGGGAGCCGAAGGGAAACCGAGUCUUAACUGGGCGUUAAGUUGCAGGGUAUAGACCC
rnacentral:rRNA from 1 species